rnacentral:rRNA from 1 species
AACUAACGCUGGCGGCGUGCCUAACACAUGCAAGUCGUACGAGAAAGUCGGCUUCGGCUGAUGAGUAAAGUGGCGCACGGGUGAGUAACGCGUGGAUAAUCUGCCCUUUAGUUGGGAAUAACGUACCGAAAGGUGCGCUAAUACCGAAUAAUGCUGAGUGACAUCAGUUAUUUAGCCAAAGAAGGCCUCUGCUUGCAAGCUUUCGCUGAAGGAUGAGUCCGCGUACCAUUAGCUAGUUGGUAGGGUAAUGGCCUACCAAGGCGACGAUGGUUAGCUGGUCUGAGAGGAUGAUCAGCCACACUGGAACUGAGACACGGUCCAGACUCCUACGGGAGGCAGCAGUGAGGAAUAUUGGUAAUGGGCGAAAGCCUGAACCAGCAACGCCGCGUGUGCGAUGAAGGCCUUCGGGUCGUAAAGCACUUUUGGUAGGGAUGAGGAAGGACAGUACCUCCAGAAUAAGCCUCGGCUAACUACGUGCCAGC